GGCCGCGUGGCCUAAUGGCUAAGGCGUCAGAUUUCGGUCAUCCCUUAAUCCUCUGAAGAUUCCAGGUUCGACUCCUGGCGUGGUCG